rnacentral:rRNA from 1 species
GACGGAACCGUGCGAACGUUAUUCGGAAUCACUGGGCUUAAAGCGCGUGUAUGGCGGAUGGGGACGUCGGUUGUUGAAAGCCCCCGGCUCAACCGGGGAACUGGCGCCGAAACGCCCUGUCAUUGAGGAGCGUAGGGGGACCUGGAACUUCCGGUGGAGCGGUGAAAUGCGUUGAGAUCGGAAGGAACGCCCGUGGCGAAAGCGAGGUCCUGGACGUUAAUCUGACGCUGAGACGCGAAA